rnacentral:rRNA from 1 species
UGGGGAAUAUUGGACAAUGGGCGAAAGCCUGAUCCAGCCAUGCCGCGUGAGUGACGAAGGCCUUAGGGUUGUAAAACUCUUUCGUCGGGGACGAUAAUGACGGUACCCGAAGAAGAAGCUCCGGCUAACUUCGUGCCAGCAGCCGCGGUAAUACGAAGGGAGCUAGCGUUGUUCGGAAUCACUGGGCGUAAAGCGCACGUAGGCGGAUAGUUAAGUCAGGGGUGAAAUCCUGGAGCUCAACUCCAGAACUGCCUUCGAUACUGAGAGUCUCGAGUCCGAGAGAGGUGAGUGGAACUGCGAGUGUAGAGGUGAAAUUCGUAGAUAUUCGCAAGAACACCAGUGGCGAAGGCGGCUCACUGGCUCGGUACUGACGCUGAGGUGCGAAAGCGCGGGGAGCAAACAGGAUUAGAUACCCAGGUAGUCCCUGAGCGGGCUGGCAAGGCGCAU